AUUGAACGCUGGCGGCAGGCCUAACACAUGCAAGUCGAGCGGAUAAAGGGAGCUUGCUCCUGGAUUCAGCGGCGGACGGGUGAGUAAUGCCUAGGAAGCUGCCUGGUAGUGGGGGAUAACGUCCGGAAACGGGCGCUGAUACCGCAUACGUCCUGAUGGAGAAAGUGGGGGAUCUUCGGACCUCACGGUAUCAGAUGAGCCUAGGUCGGAUUAGCUAGUUGGUGGGGUAAAGGCCUACCAAGGCGACGAUCCGUAACUGGUCUGAGAGGAUGAUCAGCCACACUGGAACUGAGACACGGUCCAGACUCCUACGGGAGGCAGCAGUGGGGAAUAUUGGACAAUGGGCGAAAGCCUGAUCCAGCCAUGCCGCGUGUGUGAAGAAGGUCUUCGGAUCGUAAAGCACUUUAAGUUGGGAGGAAGGGAAGUAAGUUAAUCCCUUGCUGUUUUGACGUUACCAACAGAAUAAGCACCGGCUAACUUCGUG
rnacentral:rRNA from 1 species